CAAAUUAGAGCUUGAGUUAAGCAUUUCAUUUACAUUGAAAAGAUAUUAUAUUUAUAAUUAAUUUGA
rnacentral:tRNA from 1 species